rnacentral:rRNA from 1 species
UCCGUGCCAGCAGCCGCGGUAAUACGGAGGGUGCAAGCGUUGUCCGGAUUUAUUGGGUUUAAAGGGUACGUAGGUGGCUAUUUAAGUCAGUGGUGAAAGUCUGCAGCUUAACUGUAGAAUUGCCAUUGAUACUGGAUAGCUUGAGUAUUGUUGAGGCAGGCGGAAUUUAUGGUGUAGCGGUGAAAUGCAUAGAUACCAUAAAGAACACCGAUAGCGAAGGCAGCUUGCUUAACGAUAACUGACACUGAUGUACGAAAGCGUGGGUAGCGAACAGGAUUAGAUACCCUGGUAGUCCACACCGUAAACGCUGUCUACUAGCUGUGUGUGCCUUUAAGGCGUGCGUAGCGAAGCUAACGCGCUAAGUAGACCGCCUGGGGAGUACGGCCGCAAGGUUAAAACUCAAAGAAAUUGACGGGGGCCCGCACAAGCGGUGGAGCAUGUG